CGCUGUUCCCGUACCCGACCGACGCAGCUAUGGGUCCGUCCGGCCCGUCCUGGUGUGGUGAUGUACGCCGAAAGACCCCGAUGAAUUAAAUUCGGCCAACUUUAAUUCACAAGAGCCUCUGAUGUUGUUCUGUUUGGUGGCAAAACGUGUACGCUUCGACCGGUGCGCUGAUCUUCUCGAUCUACCUCGUCUACGAUAAUGCUCGGUGGUAGCCACAGUAGCCGGAGGAGGUUAUUGAUCGGUCCAUGAAGCCGUGCUGGAGGCGGUGCGGGAAGGAAUCCCGUACGCCGGCAGCUUCUACGCGACCCAGCACUACGCACCAGCACUAACCCCAAACCAACAUACAGAAAAGAUACAGCGUAUUAUUCGUCGUAAUAAUGCCGACCAGCAGCAACAGCAUCAGCAUCAACAGUCGGUCAGUUAUCAGUCAGUAGUCAGCACCAAACCUCUGCGCUUCUUGGUGAAAUCGGAUACUGGCGAUGCUCAAGAUCAAGAUAUCCGACAUACUAGCGGAAAGCAACCUUCGUCGCAGCGUGAGGCUGAUGAGUUAUCGGAAGGCUUUAAACCGUUGGCAAGGAAUGAAAUCUUUAGCGCAGGCGAUCUGGUCGCGAUGGAUGCCGAGUUUGUGACGCUGAAACCGGGGGAAAGUGAAAUCCGUUCCGAUGGAAAGAUGUUGACGGUGAAACCCCGGGCAUCACGUGCAUCCGGGGACAGGGCGAGCAUGAGAUUGUCCCGUUCAUAGAUGAUUACAUCUCGACGCAGGAACGCAGGUGGUCGACUAUCUGACCAAGUUUUCCGGUAUCAAUAUACAGUCGAAGACGCACGAUUCCGUCGAGGAAUGCUUCUACAAGCAUUACCUACGGCUACAGGAAAAGGAUGAGUUUUCCAGGGCGCUCUCGACGUUGUACGAGAAGGGCAAGCCUGUUGGAAAUUCCGUAGCUGCGU